AUGCUUUUCUUGUUUUGUCUGUGGCUCAUCUCCCUCUUAACAGGUGAUGCCUCUAGCGAGGGAAUAGCACCAGUCUCUCCUAAUGAAUUAGUCUCAGAAGGGAACACAAUCACCCUGUCCUGCAAUUACAAUGGAUCAGCUGCUACAGAUGCUCUCCACUGGUAUCGUCAGUACCCGAGAUCCAGACCAGACUUCCUGUUUCUAGUUAAUGAAGCUGCAUUUAAGCAACCGGCUGAUCCUCCAAUUCCUGGAAUAUCUGCUAGAUUAAAUGAGGAGAAAAAUCGUGUGGAUCUGGAGAUCACUGGCACUGCAUUAACUGAUUCUGCUCUGUACUACUGUGCCCUCAACAACUGA